CCUUCUUUCCUUUCUCCAUGAUCCCUGAUAACUGGGCCUCCUGACACUGGCGACAGAAAUUGCCCGUCAAAUAGCAGAGAUAAGAGAAAGCAGUGCCGUAAGAAGAGUUAUUUAUUAUAGUUGAUAUAAUCCCAGAUGAUAACACAAGAAUGAAGAACUCAUGGUCCCUGCCAACUGUAUUCGAGAUGCCUCGUUGUUUCAGUCUGUCUUCAACUGCACCCAAACAUUGCAACUGAAUUGCUUCAUAGGGCAGAAGAAGCACCAGCUUCAAAGUCAGAAAACAAUCCAUCUCAAAUAAAACCCGACUCAACAUCCUGGUACCAUCUUCAUCCAGCAAUAUUCCGUUAGAUUUUGGUAAGGAUUGGUCGAUCAGUCUUAAUAUAUCAUUUAACUGUGAACGUGCAAUCAAUUUUUUGAAAAUCUCCAUCCAACACACAUGUAAAGGAUGAACAUUAAGGCAGUUAUCUAUCUUCACUUUCUCAAGCGAUUCUACUUCCUGAAAGCUUUCCCAUCCUUCAUCCCAGUCAUCAUUAUUCCAAUCAAUU
rnacentral:misc_RNA from 1 species